UUGACGAUGCAGAACGGCGGAAGCGUGAU
rnacentral:sRNA from 1 species